rnacentral:rRNA from 1 species
UCUUUAAUGGAGAGUUUGAUCCUGGCUCAGGACGAACGCUGGCGGCGUGCCUAAUACAUGCAAGUCGAGCGGGGUUAUUUAGAAGCUUGCUUCUAAAUAACCUAGCGGCGGACGGGUGAGUAACACGUAGGCAACCUGCCCACAAGACAGGGAUAACUACCGGAAACGGUAGCUAAUACCCGAUACAUCCUUUUCCUGCAUGGGAGAAGGAGGAAAGGCGGAGCAAUCUGGCACUUGUGGAUGGGCCUGCGGCGCAUUAGCUAGUUGGUGGGGUAAAGGCCUACCAAGGCGACGAUGCGUAGCCGACCUGAGAGGGUGAUCGGCCACACUG